UGCCAGCAGCCGCGGUAAUACGGAGGGUCCGAGCGUUAUCCGGAAUCAUUGGGUUUAAAGGGUCCGUAGGCGGUUAGAUAAGUCAGUGGUGAAAGUUUUCGGCUCAACCGGAAAAAUGCCAUUGAUACUGUUUAACUUGAAUUAGUGUGAAGUAAUUAGAAUAAGUAGUGUAGCGGUGAAAUGCAUAGAUAUUACUUAGAAUACCGAUUGCGAAGGCAGGUUACUAACACUAUAUUGACGCUGAGGGACGAAAGCGUGGGGAGCGAACAGGAUUAGAUA
rnacentral:rRNA from 1 species